AUACGGAGGUGGUUAGCGUUGUUCGGAAUUACUGGGCGUAAAGCGCACGUAGGCGGACUGGAAAGUUGGGGGUGAAAUCCCGGGGCUCAACCCCGGAACUGCCUCCAAAACUUCCAAUCUAGAGAUCGAGAGAGGUGAGUGGAAUUCCAAGUGUAGAGGUGAAAUUCGUAGAUAUUUGGAGGAACACCAGUGGCGAAGGCGGCUCACUGGCUCGAUACUGACGCUGAGGCGCGAAAGCGUGGGGAGCAAACGGGAUUAGAAACCCUAGUAGUCC
rnacentral:rRNA from 1 species